rnacentral:ncRNA from 4 species
CCUCAAAUCAGGUAGGACUACCCGC